UACGUAGGGGGCAAGCGUUGUCCGGAAUCAUUGGGCGUAAAGAGCGCGUAGGCGGUCCAGUAAGUCCGCUCUGAAAGUCCGGGGCUCAACCCCGGGGAGGCGGGCGGAUACUGCUGGGCUAGAGUCCGGAAGAGGCGAGUGGAAUUCCUGGUGUAGCGGUGGAAUGCGCAGAUAUCAGGAAGAACACCCGUGGCGAAGGCGGCUCUCUGGAACGCAACUGACGCUGAGACGACGAAAGCGUGGGGUAGCAAACAGGAUUAGAACCCGUACCG
rnacentral:rRNA from 1 species